UACAGAGGUCCCAAGCGUUGUUCGGAUUCACUGGGCGUAAAGGGUGCGUAGGCGGUCGGAUAAGUCUGAUGUGAAAUCUUCGAGCUCAACUCGGAAACUGCAUCGGAAACUAUUCGGCUAGAGGAUUGGAGGGGAGACUGGAAUUCUCGGUGUAGCAGUGAAAUGCGCAGAUAUCGGGAGGAACACCCGUAGCGAAGGCGGCACUCUGGGCCGGUACUGACGCUGAGGAGCGAAAGCGUGGGGAGCGAACAGG
rnacentral:rRNA from 1 species